rnacentral:rRNA from 1 species
AGUGAACGCUGGCGGUAGGCCUAACACAUGCAAGUCGAACGGCAGCACAGUAAGAGCUUGCUCUUACGGGUGGCGAGUGGCGGACGGGUGAGGAAUACAUCGGAAUCUACUUUUUCGUGGGGGAUAACGUAGGGAAACUUACGCUAAUACCGCAUACGACCUACGGGUGAAAGCAGGGGAUCUUCGGACCUUGCGCGAUUGAAUGAGCCGAUGUCGGAUUAGCUAGUUGGCGGGGUAAAGGCCCACCAAGGCGACGAUCCGUAGCUGGUCUGAGAGGAUGAUCAGCUACACUGGAACUGAGACACGGCCCAGACUCCGACGGGAGGCAGCAGUGGGGAAUAUUGGACAAUGGGCGCAAGCCUGAUCCAGCCAUACCGCGUGGGUGAAGAAGGCCUUCGGGUUGGAAAGUCCUGUUGUUGGGAAAGAAAAGCAGCAGGUUAAUACCCCGCUGUUCUGACGGUACCCAAAGAAUAAGCACCGGCUAACUUCGUG